rnacentral:rRNA from 1 species
UGAGGAAUAUUGGGUCAAUGGGCGCAAGCCUGAACCAGCCAAGUAGCGUGAAGGAUGACUGCCCUAUGGGUUGUAAACUUCUUUUAUGCGGGAAUAACCUCGACCAUGUAUUGGUCGUUUGCAUGUACCGCAAGAAAAAGCAUCGGCUAAUUCCGUGCCAGCAGCCGCGGUAAUACGGAAGAUGCGAGCGUUAUCCGGAUUUAUUGGGUUUAAAGGAGCGUAGGCGGACUAUCAAGUCAGUUGUGAAGUCAUCGGCUCAACCGCUGAAUUGCAGUUGAAACUGGUAGUCUUGAGUGCACAUGAGGAUGGUGGAAUUCGUAGUGUAGCGGUGAAAUGCUUAGAUAUUACGAAGAACUCCGAUUGCGAAGGCAGCUAUCUGGGGUGCAACUGACGCUGAGGCUCGAAGGUGUGGGUAU